rnacentral:lncRNA from 1 species
CUUCUCUCUUUCUUCAAAAUUCCGAAGACUUCUUUCAAAAGAUAGAGAGGAAACGAGAAAAAAAAAAAUUAAGCUACAGUUUUCUGCUGAAUUUAAACUCCAGUCUAAAGACACUAUGCAAAUGGCUUAUGCUAAGAGGAAAAUACCCCUUCUCCCCCGACGAGAAGUGUAGAUGCAUCCAAAACCCCUCACCGCUUGUCUCUGCUGCCAGAGGCCCAGUACGGGCACAACUUGUGGUUAUGUUUUGGCUUGUUUCUUACCUCCGGGCCUUCUUUAUAGCUCUGCCCCCCACCCCACCAGCGGCGGCGCUCCCGCGGCGGCACCCAGGCCGCCUGUUGGCUGCGGCGCCCGGCCGGCUCGGCACACUCCCCGCGCCGCGGCGCACACGCGCGCCCCCGCCUCUUCCCGCCUGGGCCGCUCCGCCGGCGGCGGAGGCGGCGGUGAUGGUGGCAGGUAGCGAGCCAGCCGGCCUCGGUCCGGUAACCCAUGGCAACCGCCCUGGAUUGUCAAACCCAAAACAGAUCCACCCACUGAGGCGGCGGAGAAAAAGCGGUUCGGCGGGUGCAGCACUCAGGAAAUGAGGUGGCAAGCUAGACACACACCUACUUUGAGACAGGUGUGAGCUACCCUUCGGCAAAUGCCGCAGCAAUGAUUGCUGCAGGUAAGAUCCACUGAUGGGUGCUGAUGUCAGCAGACGAAGGUCUGAGGAAAAACGGGAUGUUUGUACA